CUUUAAGGGGCCUGAAGGAACGUUGAAGACGACGACGUUGAUAGGCCGGGUGUGUAAGCGCAGCGAUGCGUUGAGCUAACCGGUACUAAUGAACCGUGAGGCUUAACCUUACAACGCCGAAG
rnacentral:rRNA from 1 species